rnacentral:rRNA from 1 species
CCUACGGGGUGCUGCAGUGGGGAAUAUUGGACAAUGGGCGAAAGCCUGAUCCAGCCAUGCCGCGUGUGUGAAGAAGGCCUUCGGGUUGUAAAGCACUUUCAGUGGGGAAGAAAGCCUUGGGGCUAAUACCCUCGAGGAAGUACAUCACCCACAGAAGAAGCACCGGCUAACUCCGUGCCAGCAGCCGCGGUAAUACGGAGGGUGCGAGCGUUAAUCGGAAUUACUGGGCGUAAAGCGCGCGUAGGCGGUCUGAUAAGCCGGUUGUGAAAGCCCCGGGCUCAACCUGGGAACGGCAUCCGGAACUGUCAGGCUAGAGUGCAGGAGAGGAAGGUAGAAUUCCCGGUGUAGCGGUGAAAUGCGUAGAGAUCGGGAGGAAUACCAGUGGCGAAGGCGGCCUUCUGGACUGACACUGACGCUGAGGUGCGAAAGCGUGGGUAGCAAACAGGAUUAGAUACCCGUGUAGUC